AACGAACGCUGGCGGCAUGCCUAAUACAUGCAAGUCGAACGAUCACUUCGGUGAUAGUGGCGCACGGGUGCGUAACGCGUGGGAAUCUGCCCUUGGGUUCGGAAUAACAGCGGGAAACUGCUGCUAAUACCGGAUGAUGACGUAAGUCCAAAGAUUUAUCGCACAAGGAUGAGCCCGCGUAGGAUUAGCUAGUUGGUGGGGUAAAGGCCUACCAAGGCGACGAUCCUUAGCUGGUCUGAGAGGAUGAUCAGCCACACUGGGACUGAGACACGGCCCAGACUCCUACGGGAGGCUGCAGUAGGGAAUAUUGGACAAUGGGGGCAACCCUGAUCCAGCAAUGCCGCGUGAGUGAUGAAGGCCUUAGGGUUGUAAAGCUCUUUUACCAGAGAUGAUAAUGACAGUAUCUGGGGAAUAAGCCCCGGCUAACUCCGUGCCAGCCGCCGCCGUAAUAC
rnacentral:rRNA from 1 species